UCCUUGGUGGCUCAGACGGUAAAGAGUCUGACUACAAUUCAGGAGAUCCAGGUUCAAACCCUGGAUUGGGAA
rnacentral:tRNA from 1 species